GAGCGUGAAGCCAGGAUGUGAUUCCGAACUGGAUGGUUCGAACUAUGAGCCACAUAACACCCGAACUGUUAGCAGAGGCACUGUCAGGCUAAGAGGGACCAAAUCCAAACCACCCUGUUUUUAAACACAGGACUAGGCGCCUGCAUGGUGAUCCCAGAAUCAUGGGAAAGUGGUAAAAAUGAAAAAUGACAUCUUUGAUGGAGAAGACUCCACAGAGACCCGGGAGAAGCGCGGCCUCUUCCCCUGCUCACAGACAGCUCUCUUUCCCCUCAUAUGGCUGACAGGGCAAGCAGGACUCCACUGCAGGCUCAAACAAUGGCUGACAUCCUAGGUCAAGGCUGCGGGUGAGGAAGGAAGACUAGGGCUGCGGACAGUAGCCUUGUAGAGGAGGGGGAAAUCAGUAGGAGAGCAUAAGGAUUUGGACAAUGUUUGUAGGGGUCAAUGCACUAGGCUUCUGUCACUCUUACUCUGCCUGCUGAAAAAGUGUGUCAGUUUCCGAGGAUACGAGGAUGGAUCUUGUCUGUAGCCAGCAUCCUCGCUCGACCAUGUUCAAAUUUUGCAUCCCCGUUGACAUACAAUAAAUGACAACAUGACAUGAGAAGGUGGA